rnacentral:rRNA from 1 species
GAUGAACGCUGGCGGCGUGCCUAAUACAUGCAAGUCGAGCGAACAGACGAGGAGCUUGCUCCUCUGACGUUAGCGGCGGACGGGUGAGUAACACGUGGAUAACCUACCUAUAAGACUGGGAUAAAUUCGGGAAACCGGAGCUAAUACCGGAUAAUAUAUUGAACCGCAUGGUUCAAUAGUGAAAGACGGUUUUGCUGUCACUUAUAGAUGGAUCCGCGCCGCAUUAGCUAGUUGGUAAGGUAACGGCUUACCAAGGCAACGAUGCGUAGCCGACCUGAGAGGGUGAUCGGCCACACUGGAACUGAGACACGGUCCAGCCGCCUACGGGAGGCCGCAGUAGCGAAUCUUCCGCAAUGGGCGAAAGCCUGACGGAGCAACGCCGCGUGAGUGCUGAAGGUCUUCGGAUCGUAAAACUCUGUUAUUGGGGAAGACCAAAUGUGUAAGUAACUAUGCACGUCUUGACGGUACCUAAUCAGAAAGCCCCGGCUAACUACGUG